rnacentral:tRNA from 1 species
AACGAUGUAGUUUAAUAAAAUACCUAUUUUACACGUAGGAGUUUCCCAUAGGGACGUUGUUA